rnacentral:rRNA from 1 species
CCUACGGGAGGCAGCAGUAGGGAAUAUUGCUCAAUGGGGGAAACCCUGAAGCAGCAACGCCGCGUGGAGGAUGAAGGUUUUCGGAUUGUAAACUCCUUUUGUUAGAGAAGAUAAUGACGGUAUCUAACGAAUAAGCACCGGCUAACUCCGUGCCAGCAGCCGCGGUAAUACGGAGGGUGCAAGCGUUACUCGGAAUCACUGGGCGUAAAGGGCGCGUAGGCGGGAUAGCAAGUCAGAUGUGAAAUCCUAUGGCUUAACCAUAGAACUGCAUUUGAAACUGUUAUUCUAGAGUAUGGGAGAGGUAGGUGGAAUGCUUGGUGUAGGGGUAAAAUCCGUAGAGAUCAAGAGGAAUACUCAGUGCGAAGGCGACCUGCUAGAACAUAACUGACGCUGAUGCGCGAAAGCGUGGGGAGCAAACAGGAUUAGAUACCCUAGUAGUC